UCUCAACUGUUCCUGGCGCCCACGUACUGAAUGUGAGAAAAACAUCACAUAAACUAACGGUAGCCUCAAAGCUAGCAAAGAACUGACUGAGGCAGGGGUUUUAUUAUGAUAUCGCCAUGGUCACCAGUCUCCUAAGCUGUAUGGUCCUUUAUCUCCUAGGAACAGGCUCUGUAGAGGCUCAAGUCACCCAGACUCCAAGAUACCUCAUCACAGAGACUGGGAAGAAGUUGAUAAUAAAUUGCUCUCAGAAUAUGAAUCAUGACUCUAUGUUCUGGUAUAGACAAGACUUAGGUCUGGGUCUGAAGCUGAUUUAUUACUCAGUUAAUGUUGAUAUUACUGACAAAGGAGAAGUCUCUGAUGGGUACAUUGUCUCUAGAAAAGAAAAGGCAACUUUUCCUCUGACACUGGAAUCUACCACAAUCAGCCAGACCUCCCUGUACUUCUGUGCCAGCAGCGAACACAGCACUGCACGGCCAGCUGCUCUCUGA